AUUGAACGCUGGCGGAAUGCUUUACACAUGCAAGUCGAGCGGCAGCACGGGGGCAACCCUGGUGGCGAGCGGCGAACGGGUGAGUAAUACAUCGGAACAUGCCCAGUCGUGGGGGAUAACACUUCGAAAGAAGUGCUAAUACCGCAUACGUCCUGAGGGGGAAAGCGGGGGAUCGCAAGACCUCGCGCGAUUGGAGUGGCCGAUGUCAGAUUAGCUAGUUGGUGGGGUAAAGGCCUACCAAGGCAACGAUCUGUAGCUGGUCUGAGAGGAUGAUCAGCCACACUGGGACUGAGACACGGCCCAGACUCCUACGGGAGGCAGCAGUGGGGAAUUUUGGACAAUGGGGGCAACCCUGAUCCAGCCAUCCCGCGUGAGUGAAGAAGGCCUUCGGGUUGUAAAGCUCUUUCGGCAGGAACGAAACGGUGAGCUCUAACAUAGCUUGCUAAUGACGGUACCUGAAGAAGAAGCACCGGCUAACUACGUG
rnacentral:rRNA from 1 species